rnacentral:rRNA from 1 species
UUUAUGGAGAGUUUGAUCCUGGCUCAGGAUGAACGCUGGCGGCGUGCCUAAUACAUGCAAGUCGAGCGAACAGAUAAGGAGCUUGCUCCUUUGACGUUAGCGGCGGACGGGUGAGUAACACGUGGGUAACCUACCUAUAAGACUGGGAUAACUUCGGGAAACCGGAGCUAAUACCGGAUAAUAUUUCGAACUGCAUGGUUCGAUAGUGAAAGAUGGCCCUGCUAUCACUUAUAGAUGGACCUGCGCCGUAUUAGCUAGUUGGUAAGGUAACGGCUUACCAAGGCAACGAUACGUAGCCGACCUGAGAGGGUGAUCGGCCACACUGGAACUGAGACACGGUCCAGACUCCUACGGGAGGCAGCAG